ACUAAUCACAUCAUAAUAUUGUAUUAGCAUCAAUCAACAAUUUAUAUGAAUAUAAUCAAUAUUACUUCAAAUACAAUUUAACUAAAUAGAAGGAACACAGCAAUAAAUUGAUGGAAAAAAAUUACCUCUCAACUGUAAAAAUAGAAGUAAUGUAAAAGGCGAGUACCACGGCAAAACACACUGCAGAUAGAGGCGAGGCGAUGGGGUCGGAGACAAGCAGAAGCUGGAUCGACGAGUUAGUGUGCUGCACUUUGGAGGGAAUGGGAAGCUUUAAAAUGAGAUCAAAACAUGAGAAAUUUCGGUGUGGAUGACACCGUUCAUGUGCACAAAGAUACAACAAAUUUUGUAGAAGAAAUUUGUUAGAUAUAUUCGAGUUUCUUAUGCAUCCUAUAUCAAUGUUUGAUUUUUCAUAAAAUUUGUGUUUGAUAAUUAAUUUAUAGUAUUUAUGGGACAACAUUUUAGAUGGAUAUGUAUUUAAGACGUGAUUGAUUUAGUUUGAGACUUCUAAUUGCUUGAAGUAAUUUUUUGAGUAGCCUAAGUUUAGUGAACAAUAUUUUGUAACUAUGUCUAAUAUUAUGUGCCUUAAUUUUAGAGUAGAAUUUUGUGGUCAA